rnacentral:miRNA from 1 species
CUCUCUAUUUGCCUGGAUUCGAUUG